rnacentral:lncRNA from 1 species
UUUUUUUUUUUACUUUGUAAUAAAAAUGACUCUUACCAGCCCAUUGGAUAUCAAGAUUGCAUUAGGUAGUUUGGAUCUAGCUGUGGGCUAUGAUGUAUUUUAUUUUUUACUUUUGGCUCUGUAAUAAUAACUUUGUAAUAAAACUUUGGAAAUAUAGUAGUAAAGGGUAUGGUAGGGUUUUUAGUUGUUUUGCAUGUUAAAGGACAGAAAUCAUGCCUAUAGGACUUUUACUAAUUCGAAUCACUUAGAUAUCAUGCCUAUUGGACUUUUACUAAUUUGAAUCACUUAUCAUGCCUAUAGGACUUUUACUAAUUUGAUUCACUUAGAUAUCAUUCCUAUAGGACUUUUACUACUUUGAAUCACUUAGAUAUCAUGCUCAUGGGCUUUGUAACGUUGAAUCAUCCAGAGAUCAUGUCCAUAGGCUUGCAUUUUUCUUAUAUAGAAAUCAUGCCUAUAGAAUUGCAUAAUGAUAGGCAAACAAUAGGGUAACACAACUAUUUCCUGUCUGAAACGUCUAAAAUAGCAUUGAAUAAAUACAAAUCGAAGUAGAAAUCAUGCUUAUAGGAUCUCAAAACUCGCUUAAGCCGUAUAAUCAAUAAUCUGGCAAUUGUUUCAAUGUCUUCAACAUAAUUCGUCCAAACUUGUCUGCAACUCUAAGAACUUGUAUUUCUGUCGCUAAAAUCAUUUUCCAAAUCUCUGUCUGAACUUUUAUUCAUGAGGUUACUUUCAAACAGCUUUCAAACUCUCGCCUCUUUUUAUGAACACUUUACUUCUGAAACUCUGAUGUACAUUUCUUUAAAUAGUCCCAGCGAUUUUCCAAAACCUUUUUAAACUUCUGCAACUUCUGCUUCUUUCAAAACUUGUCUAUGUUAACCCUUAAUUAAGAAUUUGGUAAAAUGCUCCAGAUACUAACAAUUGGAUCCAAGUUGCCUAAUGUAGACGUUUUAUAUAAUUCUAUGUAUUAAACUGAUCCGUCCACCGCUUAAUUUUAAUUUAAGACCAAACCAGUAUAUGCAAGACAUGCUAAACGACAUGUUGUCUGUUUAAAGGGGUUUCUUUGAGCCUUGGCCUGUCUUAUUUUAUUUCCCCUACUUGGUAUCUGUUUUGAAUGACAAAUUAGACUUUUAUCCUUUGAAACUACAUGGAAAGCCCCAAUCCCUUUCUUCCCCUUUUAGGAUUAGAAGUCCUAACACCCCAGGACUGAUAGGAUGGAGCGGGUACUAGCAUGCAAUAAGUAAAACGAGACUAAUCGUGUUUAAAUACCCUAACGGGGUGGGAAGGAUAAAAUAUGAAUAUGAUAACUGGUGCGCUGAUAUCUCGUGUGAGAAUGAUUGUUGGGUAUUGCACCAAAGUGAUCCAUAUUAUAUUGAACCCUAGGACACAUUUCUUCUUCUUUAUUAAUGCUUUAUCUUAUAUUAAUGUUUUCAACCAAAAUUCCUCUUUUCAAAACAACUUGUGUCUUUCUUCUUUCAAAAUUUCCAACUUUCUAUGUUUCCUAUGUGCAAACUUUGCUUGUUUACUCCUACUCUUCUUAAAGUCACAAUUAAGAAUGGCCGGAACCGAUCUUGAGGGGUGCCUAAAAGCUUCCCCUUGAGAUAAUCUCAAUCCCUUACCCGAACUCUAGUUUUCUUUGAAAAUCUUCUUCUUUUCUUCUUAAAGUGUCCGAAUGCACUAUAAUCAUUAGGUGGGGACUCUCCAAAAUCCAUAACCCAAAUUCCCCAAAAAGGGAUAACAGAGUUAUUCCACCCAUAAUGUCGAAACCCACUUUUCGCCCUUUAGAAAAAUAGGGGCGUCGACACGGAUCUGAGGACCCAAAAUAGCCACUGGCUCCACUGCAUAAGUUAGAUCUUCAUCCAACUGAACAUUGCUGAUGUCUAACACAUGAGACGGGUCCCCAACAUACUUUCGGAGCAUUGAAACAUGGAACACCGGGUGAACUCCCGACAAGCUGGGUGGCAAAGCAAGCAUAUAGGCCACCUCCCGAAUCCUCCUAAGUAUCUCAAGGUCCAAUGAACCGUGGACUCGGCUUCCCUUUCUUUCCAAACCUCAUAACGCCUUUCAUAGGCGAAACCUUCAACAAGACCUUAUCGACGACCAUAUAAUAUACAUCUCGAACCUUCCGGUCCAUAUAACUCUUUUGACGCAACUGAGCCGUACAAAGUCUCUCCUGGAUCACUUUCACCUUCUCUAUGGCAUCAUGAACCAACUCUGUCCCCAACAACCUAGACUCACUGGUCUCCAACCAACCGACUGGAGAUCGAAACCCUCUCUCAUAUUAUGCCUCAUACGACACCAUCUGAAUGCUAGAAAUAAUAACUGUUGUUGUAGGCAAACUCUGCAAGAGGUAGAAACUCAUCCCAAUAACCUCCAAACUCAAUCACACAGGCACACAACAUAUCCUCCAAUUUCUGAAUGGUACGCUCGGACUGUCCAUUUGUCUGAGGAUGAAAUGGUAAACUCAGCUCCACCUGAGUACCCAACUCGUGCUGAAAAGUCUUCCAAACUGAGAAAUGAACUGAGUACCCCUAUCCGAUAUAAUAGAAACUGGAACACCAUGCAAUCGGUCAAUCUCACGAAUAAAGACCCCUGCCAACCACUCUGAAGAAUAUGUGGUACACACUAGAAUGAAAUGCACGGACUUGGUCAGUCGAUCCACAAUAACCCAAAUCGAAUCGAACUUCUUCAAAGUCCGAGGAAGACCACUCACAAAAUUCAUGGUAACUCUCUCCCAUUUCCACUCAGGAAUAACUAUCUGCUGAAGCAAACCGCUCGGUCUCUGAUGCUCAUAUUUUACCUGCUGACAAUUGAGAUACCGAGCCACACAUACCACAAUGUCUUUCUUCAUUCUCCUCCACUAGUAAUUCUAUCUCAAGUCCUGGUACAUCUUCGCGGCACCCGAAUGGAUGGAAUACAAUACCGCGAACUGUGGGCUUCCUUAAGAAUGAAAUCUCUAAGCCCAUCUACAUUGGGCACACAAAUUCGUCCUUUCAUCUUCAACACACCAUCAUCACCUAUAGUCACAUCCCUAGCAUCUCCGUGAUGAACUCUGUCCUUGAGGACAAGCAAAUGUGGAUCAUCAUACUGGCGCUCUCUGAUGCAAUCAUACAAGGAAGAUUGGGAAACCACGCUCACUAACACUUGGCUAGGCUCCGAAAUAUCUAACUGCACCAACUGAUUGGCCAAAGUCUGAACAUCAACUGCAAGGGGUAUCUCCCCGACUGGAAUAUACGCCAAACACCCCAUACUAACUGCCUUUCAGCUCAAAGCAUUGGCCAAUACAUUGGCCUUUCCCGGAUGAUACAAAAUGGUAAUAUCAUAGUCCUUAAGUAACUCAAGCCAUCUCCACUGCCUCAAAUUAAGAUCUUUAUGCUUGAGUAAAUGCUGAAGGCUGCGAUGAUCGGUGAAUACCUCACAAGAUACUCCAUAUACAACAAAUCCCGACUCUCGAAGCAUCACAAUAAACGAUGUAAGAACCUGAAGUUGAUGGCAAGACCAAUAGUGGAGCUGUGGUCAAAGAUGUAUUGAGCUUCUGAAAGCUCUCCUCGCACUCAUCCGACCAUACAAACGGGGCAUCCUUCUGUGUCAACUUGGUCAAGGACGAGCCAAUAGAUGAGAAACCCUGAAUGAACCAGUGAUAAUAACCCGCCAAACCAAGGAAACUAUGAAUCCCUAUGGCCGAGGACGGUCUAGGCCAACUCUAAACUGUCACAAUCUUCUUUGGAUCAACAUGAAUACCAUAACUGGACAUCACGUGUCCCAAGAAGGCCACAGAACUAAGACAAAACUCGCACUUGGAGAACUUGGCAUAUAACUUCACCUCCCUCAAUCUCUGCAAUACCACUCCUGACUACGAAAGUAUACUAGAAUAUCAUCAAUGAAUAUAAUAACAAACGAAUCCAGAUACGAUCUAAAUCCACUGUUCAUUAGAUGCAUGAACGAUGCUGGGGCAUUGGUCAGCCCGAAAGACAUAACCAGAAACUCAUAGUGGCCAUCUCUAGUCAUGAAGGCAGUCUUAAGAAUAUCUGACUCCUUGAUCUUCAACCGGUGAUAACCCGAACGAAGAUCAAUCUUAGAAAACACCCUCGCUCCCUGAAGCCGGUCGAAUAAAUCAUCGAUGUGAGGUAGGGUAUACUUGUUCUUCCCUGUUACUUUAUUCAACUGCCUGUAGUCAAUGCACAUUCUCAUUGUGCCAUCUUUAUUCUUCACAAAUAACACAGGUGUACCCCACGGUGACACAGUAGGCCGAAUAAACCCCUUUUCUAGGAGUUCCUGAAGCUGGUCUUUUAAUUCUUUCAACUCGCUGGUUCCAUACGAUAAGGCAGAAUGGAAAUGGGCUUGGUUCCCGACACCGGGUCAAUGCCAAAGUCAAUGUCCCUUUCCAGUGGCAACCUCGGUAGGUAUAUAAGAAAUACAUCAAGGAAGUCCCUCACAACGGGGACAGAAUCUAUACCGGGAGCCUCAGCUCCAACAUCGCGCACAAAGGCCAAAUAUGAUAAACAACCUUUCCCAACCAUGCAUUGGGCUUUCAAGAAAGAUAUAACCCUACUAGGGACAAAAUCAGUCGUACCACGCCACUCGAUCCUCGGAACACUCGGCAUAGCCAAAGUGGCUAUCUUUGCAUGACAGUCUAGAAUAGCAUGACCCAGAGAUAACCAUUCCAUGCCCAGAAUGUCAUCAAACUCAACCAUGCUCAAAAGCAACAAAUCAACUCAGGUCUCUAGACCCCAAUUAGAACAAGACAGGACUGAUACACAUGGUUCACAAUAAUAGUAUCAUCCACCGGGGUAGAUACUUGCACAGGUAAAGCAAGACACCCUUGGGUCGUACUUAAACGAUGAGAAAAAUAUGAAGACACAUAGGAAUAGGUAGAACUGGGAUCAAAUAAGACAGAGGCAUCUCUGUGGCAGACCAAAAUAAUACCUGUGAUAACAUCUGAUGCAAGGGAAUCCAUCCUGCCUGGGAUAACAUAAAAUCUUGCUUGGACAUCGCCACAUGAUCCGUUUCGCCCCUAGGGAGACCCCCGGCUUCCUGGCCUCCGCCCCUCUCUGACUGGACUAGUGCUGAAGAAUUCAGAGCAGAAGACAAUGGCUGAUCCCUCUGCUAAGACUGGCUACCAUGAUGUCGAGGACACUGCCUCCUCAUAUGUCCAAACUCUCCUAACUCGAAGCAAAUACCACAUGUUGGAGAAGGGGAGUAAUUGGAACCCCUCGCACUAGAAUGACCAGCCGAUGUGCCCUGCGCAGAAGAACCCUGAGCUGAAGGGGCAUGUGAAGAGCUAUGAGCUGGGAUGGUACUAAGUGAAGACUGGCCCUGCUGGAACCCCUGAUGAUCACAGCUUGAAGACGCCCUCCGCUAUACUGAACCUGGCCCCUAAAAAGAGCACCACUGAAGCUAUCUGAUCCUCGAGGCCUCUUGGCCUCCCUCUCCUCUCUCUCCUGACAGCGAGCUGUCUCAAUAUCACGAGCAAUAUCCACUGCAUCCUCAAAGGUAUGACUUAGAAUCCUCUCUCGGGUCAUCAGAAUAUGGAGGAGAUAGAUAAGUCCAUCCACAAACCUCCUAAUCCUCUACCGAUCAGUGGGGACCAUCCAUGGAGCAUAACGAGCCAACUUCAAAAUCUCACCUCAUACUGUGACACAGUCAUAUCUCCCUAACGAAGCCACUCAAACUGUCUCCGCAGCUCCUCCCUGGACAUGAUAGAUAAGUUCAUCCACAAACCUCUUAAUCCUCUCCCGAUCAGUCGGGACCAUCCAUGGAGCAUGUAGAGCCAACUCCGAAAAUCUCACCCCAUACUGUGACAUAGUCAUAUCUCCCUGACGAAGCCACUCAAACUGCCUUUGUAGCUUCUCCCUCUAAGACUACAAUACCCACUUCUCCAAAAAGAGAGUGGAGAACUCCUACCAUGACAAAGUCGCUACACCUCUCGGCCUACGCCGCUCAUAAGCCUACCACCAAGUGAAGUCUUCUCUAGAAAACGGAAAAGUAGUAAAUGAUACCUGCUCGACUCCAAGAGCCCUGCGGUCCGAAGCAUACGUCGACACUUGUAGAGAAAACCCUGGGAAUUCUUGCUUGGAACACCAUUGAAAGUAGGAGGUGAGAGCCUACUAAACCUCUUGAGACGAUGCUGCUCAUUGUCUGGCAUAGCUGGAAUCACAUCCUCCUCAACUGGGGAAACCGGCUGAACUGGGGCAACCGACUGAACUGGGGCAACCUUCUGAACUGGCGAUGCCUCUGGUGUCUGCAAAUCCUCCACUCCCCGCUGGCGUGCGAGCAACAGGGAUCUGAUUGCUUCCCCUAGCCUGUGAUGUAGUUGUUGCAGUAGUGGUUGGGAGGGCCUGAGCCAGGCCAGUGCAAACUGAUAGAAUCUGAGCUAGGGCCUUCUGAAGACCCGGAAUCACAAUAGGCACAACUGGUGCCUGAACAGGUGCUGCUGGAGUCUCCACAGCUGGAGCCUGCUCCUGAUCCGGGAAAACUGGUAGGUCAACAAGUGCUGCCCCCUCAUCUCUGCCUCGACCACGAACUCGACCGCGUCCACGGCCUCUAGUGGCCUCAGUAGGUGAUACAGGUUGUCGUCUGCCACAUCUAGUAGCACGGGUUAUCACCAUCUAUGAGUGAAUAGAAUAAUAGAAUUUAGUUCUCGGAGCAACAAAGUCGCACGAUAAGAAUUCCAAGAAUAUAAAGUUUCUUAAUGGUUCUGCAGCAUCCCGAGGAUAGGUACAAACGUCUCCAUACCGAUCUGCGAGACUCUACUAAACUGUCUCAUGACUCGCGAGACCAAGUAACCUGGCUCUGACACCAACUUGUCACGACCCCAACCCGAUCGUAAUGGCACCGAGCACACUACUAGGCAAGCCCCACCAUUUAUAACAAUAACCCCAAUUUAUUAAAUAGAUAAAGAUAAUGCCAUUUAAGUCAAAAGUCUGAAAUACUGAUAAUAAUGCGGAAUAUCUAACAAAAUAACAAUACAGCCCAACUAGGACCCGAUGUCACGAACAUGAGCCUCUAGAAUACAGAGUAAUAUCCUACUACAAAGUCUGUCUAAAACUGAAAAUACGGAAAUAAAUGAUAGAAAUAGAGGGGAGAAUCAUCGGCUGUGAACACCCUGCAGAUACCUCAAAAUACUCCCGAAAUAAAACUUUGAAUCAACUAGAUCUACUCAGCCUGAGACUACCCUGGAUCAGCACGCAAGGUGCAGGGAGUAAAGUGAGUACUCCGACCCAAUGAGUAAUAAACAUAACUACAGUCUGUAAGGAAGAAAACGCAGAAAAUGCACAAACUUUUCUAUAUCUAGCAGCUCAUAUCCAAAAUAGUGGAAACAGUAUACAACAAGUUAUACAGUUAAGAAAUAAUGCAUGAAAGAAUGCAACACAUAUAACGGUACACACUAGUACCCGCUGCGGCGUGAAGCCCACUCCACUUAUCUAACGUCGAUGGCGCUCAUUGGGGGUGUGUACUGACUCCUGAGGGGCUCCUAUAGUCCAAGCGCAAUAUCAGCCAGGUAUUGGCAUAAAAUAAGCUCUCGGCCUCAAUAUCAAUAUAUAUAAUCGCUGCGGCGUGAAACCUGAUUCAUAUCAAGGAAACAUCCUCACUACCGGGUCCCCGACCCAUCUCAAUAAAAUAAGUUCACACCAAUUGGGCGUGACAUACUAUAGGGAUUUUAGCCCUCACAUCCUUAUUCAUUUAAUGUUAAUGUAUAAAAUACAGUUAUUAUAUUAUUUUUGACAUUUGAAAACAUGACUGAGAAUCUAUGUUAUGCACAAAAAUGAGGAAAACACAUAAGGAUCCCCUAAGGAUUCUACAGGUCGGCACAAGGCUCAAACACGGCAAUAAGCCCAAUUCACAAUAAUAAAGUAUGCAUCUCAAUCGCCAAUAUAGUAAACAUUAACACUUGGAAUGGACUAAGUCUGAAUCCCCAAUAGUAAACGACCCCGCUCUCAUCGUGGAAUGCAUCUCACACCUCAAUAUAGCAUUAGAAUGUGAAAGUCUGGGGUUUCAAACCCUCAGAGCAGCAUUUACAUUCAUUACUCACCUCUAGCCGGCCGAAAACUAGCUAGCAAUGUCCUUGCCUCUCGAAUCGACCUCCUCGCAUGUCGAAUCUGGCCAAAACUACAACGAAUACAUUACAAUAGUCUAAGGGAAUAUAACCCAAUCAAAAAGACUCAAAAAAUAUCAAAAACCACGAAAUUUGCAAAACCCGAGCCCUGGGCUCACUUUUCGAAAGUCAAAAAAUUUAACACCAAAAUAUUUCUUAUCUCUCCACGAGUCUAUUCAUGUAAAAUUUAUCAAAAUCAGAGUCCAAAUGCUCCCAUAAAUUCCAAUUUCUCAUAAAAAACCCAAGCCCUAGUUCUUCCCCUUUUUACUCAAAUUUCAUGAAUUUAGGUGUUGAAAUCACAAUUAGAUGAUGUUUCUAGGCCAUAGGGCUUACCUCCAAUCGAUUCCUAGUCAAAAACCUCUAAAUUCCUCAUCAAAAGCUCCCAAGGUUGCUUGAGAAUGGUGGAAAAUAGACUUGGUUCGCGGAUGAAAUGUUAUUAAAAACCCUCUCUGCUCGUCUAUUUCCUUCUAUGCGAACGCGAGACCCCCCCCCCCCCCNNNNNNNNNNNNNNNNNNNNNNNNNNNNNNNNNNNNNNNNNNNNNNNNNNNNNNNNNNNNNNNNNNNNNNNNNNNNNNNNNNNNNNNNNNNNNCCCCCCCCCCCCUCGCGUUCACGAUGCACAAAAAUUCCUCAGAUCAAAUUAAGCCUUCGCAAAUGUAUCUGGUCUCCCGCGAACGUGAAGGCGCAGGGCACAGACAUAUGCGAACUCGACCUAUUGAACAGGAACGCGUUGAACACCCAGACUGACCCUCUACUUUACUCUACGUGAACGCGUGCCCCAUCCCGCGAACGCGAAGCGCCAAUGCCUCAACCUACGCGACCACGUUGAUCAUUUUCCUGACCUCCAAAAUUAACCCUACGCGAACGUGACACUUGCCACGUGAAUGCGAAGGCUUAAAAAUAGUCUACACUGCUGUUGCAUUUUCUGCAACACUCAAAGUCCAAAAAUCCUUCUGUUAAUCACCCGGAAUCACCCCGAGGCCCAAGGGACCUCGACCAAAAACACCAACAUAUACCAAAACAUCAUACAAACUUAUUCCAAUCAUCAUAACACGUCAAACAACACUAAAAUCAUAAAUUCACAUAAGAUUCAAGCCUAAGUUUCUUCAAAACUUCCGAAUUGCACAUUCGAUAAAAAACCCGACCUAAACACCUCCGAAUGACCUGAAAUUUUACAUAGAUAUCCAAAAUUACCUAACAGAGCUACUGUAACUCUCGAAAUUCCAUUUCAAGCCUUGAAUCAUAAUCUCACCUAUCAAUCGGAAAUCGCCAAAAUUUAAACUUCGCCAAUUCAAGCCUAAUUCUGCAUCGGACCUCAAAAUUCAAUUCCGAUAGCACUCCUAAGUCAUAAUCAUCCCCCGAAGCUAAUCAAAUCAUCAUGAUUCACAUCUGAGCCCUAUAACUAAAUAGUCAACUUCCAGUUGACUUUUCCAAAGUAAGCUUCCCUUUAAGAGACUAAAUGUCUCAUUUUCAUCUGAAACCAAUCCAAUUCUACCUGAUAAACUCAAAUACUGAUAUUGAAACAUAGAUAAGUAUAAUAUGAGGUAAACAAGGCGGUAACUCACGUGACAACGGGCCGGGUCAUCACAAAAUAUAGUCUCGAGUUGAUUACAAUGAGCAAGCAAUUAAAUCACAGAACACUAAUCAGAAAUGUGACAGGACUAUUGAAAUUACGAAUCUACAUUAGAGAAUCAUCAUCAAUUCCAUUUCAUAUCUCAACAUGUGAAGCUACAUGAUAGAGUCUCGAGGUAUGUACCUAGAAUGAGAAAGGAAUAGAAAAUGAGCAAAUCAACAGCAACACAGGACUUAGCAAAAGCUCCAGAAAUCCAGCAAGGGAUAACGGGGUCUCGAAAAAUAAGUAAUUUCUGCUGGGCCUUUAUCCUUUUUGUAGGUUCAUUAGGCUUCUUAUUAGUUGGAACUUCCAGUUAUCUUGGUAGAAAUUUGAUAUCUUUUUUUCCGCCUCAGCAAAUCAUUUUUUUUCCACAUCUGCUGGGCCUUUAUCCUUUUUGUAGGUUCAUUAGGCUUCUUAUUAGUUGGAACUUCCAGUUAUCUUGGUAGAAAUUUGAUAUUUUUUUCCCGCCUCAGCAAAUCAUUUUUUUUACUUAAAGUAGACUCUUAAACACCCAAGAGUGCUUCAGUGAUCAACAAUCACUAAAACUGGCUCAAAAUUGAUCCGUUUGAACCCAAAUCAACUAAAAACCAAAUCAGAGAUCAUUGUGGACUUUAAUUACUAGAAUCUGAACUAAGAGAAGUCAAUCAAUCACAACAUUUGAAAUUAAACUUGAGGAAUAGAUGGAAAAGUACUAUUUUUUGGGGUUUUCAGCUUUUGUAUAUAUAUUUUUUGAUUUUUUUAGGUUGGAAAAAGGGAUUUCAAACUUUGAGAUCUAGAAUUUAAAAUCUGAAAUUCAAAUAUUUCAAUCCGGAAACUAUGGCCUAUUUGUUGGGAAUUAGAUGACUGAAAAAAGACCCCUCACCAAGGCAAUUGUGAUGCAUUUUAUAGGCAUCCAGAAGAGAGCAACAGACUUCAAAAUUUCUUUUAGGUCCCUGUUAAUUUUCCACUUUUAGUCCCUGUAUUUUUAACUUGGGACACAAGGACCUACCACUAUCAAUCUAAACUUUUAACUACCACUCAUCCUAGAAGCUUCUAGUAAUUUCCAAAUUCAGUCCCCAAAUGAAAUCCCCAAAUUAACCCUUUAUUAACUAAUUAUACUUAGGAUUGACCCACUAACUCUAAUCAACUAAACUAAACAUGGAUGUACUAAACUAUAACUAAAAGUUAUCUGACAAAAAAAAAAAGAAUUAAUCACAGAAUUUGUUCAAUUAUUAACCAACUCGAUCAACAAUAAAAAGUAUACCACUAUAUUAGUCUAACAGAACUAAGCAUAGAGGUCAAGCUAAACUAGAAAACAUUUAAAAGACAACUACCAUAUUGAACUAAUCGGAACGAAUAGUUAGCAGGCGAUAGUUAAACUAAAAAUCAAAACCUAUCGGACCCUAAACAUUAACUAAUCAUGCAAACUAAUUAUUGUCAAAAUAAUUCUAACACUCUAAUUGAAUCCACAUGCUAGCAAGAAAAAUAGGGAUAUAAGAGUGACUGAAAAAGAAAUAAAAAGGAAGGGAACAAACUUACUAAACAAAAUCCGUCCAGUUCAUCAAUUCUCUAAUUUGGCCAUUUCCGAUGAAAUUCGAGCUCUAAUGGCACUAAAAUCUUUAUGAGGUCAGUCCAGGAACCCUAUCAUAUCUCAUUUGGUAAGGAUUGGUUAUUUAAGUUUUGGCUAGAGAAUCUAAAAAUAUAAAUUCGAGAAUUUACAGUGAGAUUCGAGAUGUGUGGUUAUGAGGGUUGGGUAGAGAACGAUAAGGAGAACCUAUGGUGUGAAUUUGGGAUAAGUGACAUCAUGGCCAAAAAACUUUAAAUGGAUAUUCGAUGAGCUCUAGUGGGAUUUGAAAGAAACAAGCAACAUAUUCGAGUAGAGGAGGCGGAGAGGAAGUUAGGGUGUUAUUUUGGGGUGGUUUGGAGGUGGUAACGUUCACCGCCGGCGGCGACUUCCGGCGGCGUUACAGAGAUACGAGGAAGACGACUUAUGUAUUAGGGUUAGUUAAUUUUUUUCGGACAGUAAUAUGUAAAAUGGGGGAGGGUUCUAGGCUGUUGGAUCAGGAAAAUUGAUGGCUGUGAUCAAUUGACGUGCGAACGAUGUCGUUUGGUCAUUAAAACAAAACAGGCCAAGCGGGGUGGGAAGUGGACUAGGCUCGUGGUUAUUGGUAACUUGGGCUAGGUGAUUUACUAAAAUCGACCCAAAUUGGUUAUGCAAGACCAAACUCUUUAUUAAAAGCCUUUCUCUAUUUUCUUUUAUUUCCCUUUUUUGUUAGUUUUUCAUUUUGAUUUUUUUGUAUUAUUUUUUUGAUUUUUUAUAAAGAUGCAAAAAUUAAAAUAAAGUCCUAAUAUAUUUCAAAGCUAAACUAAUUAACUCCUAACAUUAUUUAAAAACUAUUUCAUGAUGAAUUCACAAUUCAAAAAAAAGUGAACUAUUUUUGUUAUUUUCUUCAUAUGUAAACAAUUUUACUACUAAUUCAUUACUAUGUCAGAUGUAUUUUUGUAUUUUUAUAUGAAUUAAAAUACAGCAAAUACCUGAAAAUAAAUCAAAAAUUGUAAAAUAAUAAAGACAUUAUUUUAUUUGAAUUUUUGGGAAUAAUAUGCUUAGGGAAAAAAUCACGUUCUCGCAGGGAGUAGAAUGGAUUAGGGAAUUCAUUUAAGGACAUAAUCACAUAUAGAACAUGUACAAAAUAGCAAACACAUUUUAACCUAAGCAUACUUAGUCUAAUUUUUACAAUCAGUCCUAUGCUAGGUCAUAAUCAGAUUAAUAAUGAUAAUGGAAAUUUUAGAUCAGACUAAGUCAUAGGAAGGGAACACAUUGAUUAAUAGUAAGUCAUUAACUUAUUAAGAUAGUUCAAGAGAGGUAUCAUAACAUAAAGAGAACAUAACCAGACAUGCCAUAUUAUAAUAGCUUCAACAAACAAACUUAUAAAUCUGUUAAGGUACACAUCUAUGCAUAGAUAACCAAUUUUUAGGGUAGGUAUGAAAGCAUGCUUAUAAUAAACUUAAAUCUAAAGGAUGGUCCUCAAUAACACAGAGUUAGGCGGAUUUCAUUAAUCAAUUAAAACUAAGUUCAACAUGUCUUAACUAUAACUAAUGGAGCCCAGGAUAACAUGGUUUAAUAGUAGUAACACAUUGGACAAAAAUGAAAUGGCAAAGGAUUCAGUAAAUCACCAGUUAAGAUUAAACAUGGAAGAAAAGAAUCCAACAUCAUAGAAAAUAGCACCAAACGAAAGUAAAGGCUUGAAGAUUUUUAGCAUUGGCUUUCAGCCGGCCAAAACCAAACAAUGAGCGCAGAAUCAGAGUGAAAUAACCAAGUGCUUAGUGAGAGUAUGAGAGUUCGAGUCUUGUUCUUAAAGUGUAAGGGAAGAAGGGUUUAAAUAGUGUAAAAUUAAAUAAACAAAUAAGGAAAGUAAUCAAACACAUAUGAAUAAGGAAAAAAAUCAAUCACAGAAUAAAUGAUACGGGGUUCAGUAAAUUAACAAGGCAUAAUAGCAUGUAAUCAAGCAAGUAAUAGAAAUAAGCAAAAUAUAAAUUAACAAGUAGUUUCAUGGUAAAUAAGGAAAGUAUAAGUCGCAUAUGAGGAGGGGAAAAGUAUCAGAAAAGCAAUAAAAUAUUUCAAACCUUAAUUUGCAGUAAACCAAAAAAAUCGACAGUAAAAUAAGGUACAUAAUGUAGACAAGAGAAUCAAAAGAAAAACUAGAAUCGAACAGAUUUAGUUUGAUUCCGAAGCAUCAAAACUCCAAAUUCAGGACAAGUAAGAAGCAGCAAUAACAGAGAGUUGUAAAAACAUGCAUAGGGACACAUAAACGAUAAUAUUAAAGAAAGGUAGUUAAUAAAUCGAAAACCAAAUUAGGUCUAGAAAGAUCUUAUACCCUAGUUUUGGGUGAAACACCAAAUCAACCAAAAUAAAAGAUAAUAAUACAGAUCCAUACCAAUUAAACAUAUAUAAUAUUUUAUUAAAGGAAACUCAUAAUCGAAUUAGUUUUAAUUAAAGUAAGCAAAAGAAAGGGUUUGAAACCCUAGAUUUAAGUAAAUCACAGAAUCAGUAAAAAAUUAAUAGAUCUAUAAAUAACAUAGCAAAUAUCGACAAAGAAAAUAUUUAAAGACAGGGUUUGAACCAGAUUUGUUUCGAAUUAGAGAGGAUCUGAAGCCUUAACCUUUAGGGCUUAGCGAAUCAAGAGAGAUAUAAGAGAAUUGUUACAAAUAACGUGCUUGGACUUGAGAUUGUCCAGAUUCAAAGGAAAAACACAGAUUUACAUGGAACCAAAUUAGGGUACUUGCCAUAUUUAGGCAAUUACCUAAGUUAUUCCAGAAUCGGGUACCAAAUGAGGGAAGAACCCAAGUAUAGUAAUGGGGUAAUGAGAGAAUCCCAUUAGAACAAGAAUUCUUGGGGUGAGACGGUGGCUUUAGGGUUUGACAUGGAGGAAGAUGAUAUCGUAAUGCCUAACAAAAACGGCCAAAAGGAAAAAAGGGAUGUUUGGCUGAGGGGAGGAGAGAAAGAACGCAUGCAUGGAGAUUCUGUCUGUCGGAGGUUCGAGAAUCUAUGAAAGGACAUCUAAGGCUAAGGUUACGAAGUAAAGGAAGUCCAUUACUGAGAGAAGUGGUGAUCUCGUCUUGCUUGCUGGGAGAGAGGAAGCUUCCGGACCAUCUUUUCCAGCCAGAUAGCGAGCGAUCACUCAACAAUGAACACUAACUGAAAGCGGCCGGGAAUAUUUAGGGGCAGGGGGUGUAAAAUGAUUAGGGUUAAGGCAUAUGAGUUAAUUAAAAAGGGGUGGAGGUGUUUGACCUGUUGAUCUUUAGAGAUCAAUGGCUAUAAUUUAAAAGGGCGCUAGGUCGGAGUUUUUGAACAGGUACAAGGAUUGGGUCAAUGGGUAUUAGGGUAUUGGGCUGGUGUAUAUAAUUGAGCUAUGACUGAAAAUUUAUUAAGAAAAAGGCUAUAUUUUAAAUACCUAAUUAAAUCAGUAAAUAAUUUAUGAAAAUAACUAAUAAAUAGUAAAAAUAUCUUUUGUGCAUGAAAAACUAAUUUAAAAUAAUUACUUAAUAUAAUAAAAAUAUAGAACGUCAUGUUUAUGUAAAUAAUGUAACUAUGCAGAUAUAUGGGCUAUUAUUGCAAAAUAUGCAAUUCUAGCCUUAAAAUGCAAAUGUAAUUAUAAAAAUAUAAGUAAAAUAUAUAAAUACUAUACAUGUAUAAAUGGUGAAUUUAAAUAAUUAAAUCAUCAUAAAAAUAAUAUGAGGUAUAAUUAUUGGAUAUUUUUAUAAUAAACGAUAUAGAAAUAAAUUAAUUUAAAGCAUUUAAAAUUAUAAAAAUUUUAUAAAAACACUUGCGCAUGUUUUUAAAUAUAAUAAUAAUACAUGUGAACUAUUUAAAAUAUAUAUGCAUAUUUAAAUUAUAUGAGGAAAAACUUGGGUAGCAACAUUGUGCAUUGGGGAUAAUGCACAAUUUUAAGUGUGGGGUGAGGAAAUUGUCUGGAUGACUGUCUAUGCUACUUUUCAGAGAAAAAAAUUAGACUUUUACCAAUGAUGGAUCUCCUAGACAGCUUUCUUGAGGGAUUUAAGCCUACAAAAAAUACAAAAAAAUAAUAAGAAGAAAAUAGAACAAAAACAAAACAUGUCAUUUAUUUUUCUUAGGUAGUAAUAAUCCCACGUGAUUUUUCUUCGUGCUGCGAUUCUUUUUCAUGGGAUGUAUCUUGAACCAAAUAGUAGAUUUAUUUAUUUUAUUUUUUAAUUUUAGUGUAGUAUGUAGGAAAUAAAGGAGAAGAACUGAUUUGAUUUGCACCUUUUGACUUAUUUAAUGGUUGCAUACUUAGUCCACAUUACAACCUAAAUAAAGUCCUAGUUGAUUUCGAACCGAGCAGGCCUACAGUAGUAGAGGUUUACAUAAUGGGAAAGCCUAUGGUUCCUUUUUGCGUGCAUGUGACUUAUUUGAGAGAGUGAAUGAUUUUUCUUCAUAUGUAUGGGUCCUUAAAUUAUAUUUGAUCAUGUGAUUUGGAUGUGUGGACUGCUUACUCUGUUGUUUUAGUACGAGGGCAUAUGGUUUCACAGAUAUUAGGUAUUAGACAUUUUUGUUAGAUUAAGUUUUCAAGUCUCGAGUGCAUUAUGACAUUGAGUUAGUUUUUGAGGCUAGGAUAGUUAUAAUCAUGUUGUCUUAUAUUAGAUGCUUUGAAAGUGGGCAUACGUAUGGGAAGUGUAUUUUAACGGCAUAUGCUAGAGCUUAAUUGUUACUAUCAACCAUAGUCAUAGGUGUAGUGUUAUAAAGGUGUGGCUUGUUGGGUCCUUGAUGAGGAAGAGUUAGUUGGUUGACUAGAGGGAGAGAAAUAUUUAAGUGUGGUGCACUGAAGUCGUGCGAUAAUAGAUACCACUUCCUCAUGAAUUUAUCUUGAAUCGAGAUCUUUUGGCCCAACUUUAUCCAAGUUUUGCCAAGGGAGCAACCCAAUUUUUCACCUGGAAUUGAUCAAAAUAUGCGAACUUUCUUACUUUUCGUGGAGUAUUAAAUCCAGUAACUGGGGGUCUGUGGCCUACUGAUAUUGCUCAUCACCAUUUAGCUAUUGCAUUUUUUUCCUGAUAGCGAGUCACAUGUAUAGGACCAACUGGGUAUUAGUCAUGGACUAAAAGAUAUUCCAUAUAUUUUGAGAUUAUUUAUCCUACUUGCUUGUCUUUUGGAUACUAAUUUGUGCGAUAAUUGCGCUUAAUAGAGCUUAUUUUACAUGUAGGAAUGGUUGGAAAUGAAUUGGAGAAAAGUUACAUGAAGUGGUACCUAAGAGCUACAAAAUAGAGCAAUAAAAGAAGACGUCCAAGGCAAUGAAAAGUCAUGGCCAGAGAUAGUGUAAGGCAUUGUCUAGGGCACUGACAUUGGCGCCCCAAACAGUGCCUUGCCUAGAAACAAUGACACCAUAAACAAUGUAAGGUAUUGUCCAGGGCAUUGUCAUUGGCGCCCCAGAUAGUGCCUUGCACUAGAAACAAUGAGGCCACAGACAGUGCCGCCGACGAUGCCAUUCGAGCACUUUUAAUUCCUCAUUAGUUUUGGACAUAUAGAAUUCGGCUCCUACCUUAUAAAUACCCGUUAAUGUUAAUAUUUAUGUUAAGACAUCAUAAGAGAAGACGUUAUUAGGGAGAGAGACAUCAUUAGAGAGGGAUUCGACCCAAGGAGGCAAGAACACGCUAGGAGCAAGGAUUCUUCUACGAGUUUUUCACUUCCUUCUUCCUUUUUUGCAUACUAUUAUGAAUUACUAAUUUAUUAUCUAGGAUUUUGAUGGAGCCUUUUGUAAGAUAAAUUCUCGUUAUGUUUUGAUAUAAUUGAACUGUUAGAUUUCUCUACUUGUUCAACUACGUGUUUACUGCAAUUGAUUGCAUAACCAUCAAUUGACUGUGCCUAUUUAACAUGUAUUGCUUGAGAGAUGGUACAUAUGUAGGUAGCUGUUGAACAAUAUACUCCUAACAUAUAUGAGAGAUUAAUAUGAAGGGUUUAAAGGCGGGAUUAGAUAUAACAAAAUCUUGGUGCGAUUAUAGUGAGUGGUGAAUUAGUGCCAGCUAGCAUAGUUCGAGAGAAUAUGUUUAGUAAAGUGUGGUAGUUGCUCGAGAGAGAAUUAUGACACUAGAAGUACUUACAAUCCGUAGAGAAUAUUUAUGUGAAAUUAUAGAGGACGUAGUGGGAAGGAUUCCGACAAUUGAAAAAAUCAUCUCUAGACCUCCUUAAUUUUUUCUCCAACCCUUAGUAUCCCUAGUUGUUAAUUUAUUACUUUAAUUUGUUAAUUAAUUAGUUAGACAUAAGAAUCUUAAUGUUUAUAACUUAGGAAUUAUUUAAGCUUUUCUUCUUAGUGAUAUUGAACAGUUAUAGUUCUCCGUGGGAUUCGACUAUGGACUUUUAUACCAGAUUAUAUUUUGCAGCGAGCGCUUAUCCCCUUUAGCAGUAGAGUUAGGCGUGAUCAAUGUUAUUAUUUAUUAUAAUUAGAGUAUCUAUUAUUGUUUUUAUUUUCUACAUUUGUUACUAUAUUUUUACUGAGCCGAAGGUCUAUCAGAAUCAAUUACUAUACAAGGAAGGUGUAAGGUUUAUUCAUACACUAUCCUCUUCGGACUCCACUUAAAAAAUUAUAUUGAUUUUAUUGUUAUUAUUUAUACCAAGUAUUCCAAUUUCUAGGGGUGGGCAUAAUAACUAAGUAUUGAUUUCCGGUAUACGGUCUUUGAUGUUGGGAUAUCAUUAUUUUGGUUUUUCAGUUCAGUAUUCACUCUUACCAAACCUCUUUUAUUAUGCAUAUUAAGUAGCUUAAUUUAACUUUGAGUCCAACCACAAACCUAACCCAAAUUUCAAUUUUUCUUUUAGCUUAUUAGAAUAUAUCGAUAUCACCAUUUCAGUGACUACUACUAAAAUUAAACUUGAGGAAAUUUGGUCUAUUUGUGCUGCUAUUACCUCAAUUUAGGGGUGUAUAAAGGAAAUCGACAAACAGCACCAACCCGAUAAUCUGAGUCAAACCGAGAAAAAAAUCCGACUAUGGAGUUUUGUUUGACUUGAUUUGGUGUUGGAAAAAAAAAUCCGACCAUAAUUGGUUUAGUUUGGUUUUAACUAAAGAAAGUCAAACCGAAACCAAACCAACCCGACAUUACAUAUAUAGCAAUUGUAGAUAUAUUUAAUAUAUAAAUAUAGUUAUUGUAAUAUAAUUUAUAAAUAUUUCUUAAAAAAUUUCAUAAUUUUAUCUUUUAAGGUAUUAUUUCAAGGUUUGAUUUAGAACUUUUGAAUGCUUNNNNNNNNNNNNNNNNNNNNNNNNNNNNNNNNNNNNNNNNNNNNNNNNNNNNNNNNNNNNNNNNNNNNNNNNNNNNNNNNNNNNNNNNNNNNNNNNNNNNNNNNNNNNNNNNNNNNNNNNNNNNNNNNNNNNNNNNNNNNNNNNNNNNNNNNNNNNNNNNNNNNNNNNNNNNNNNNNNNNNNNNNNNNNNNNNNNNNNNNNNNNNNNNNNNNNNNNNNNNNNNNNNNNNNNNNNNNNNNNNNNAUUACUUUUUAAUUUAGCAAUAUUUAUAUUACAUAAUUUUAUUGUCUUUAUUGUUGAAUAUUUUAGGAUAAUGUUAUGACACAUCUCAUAUUUUGUAUUAUUUUCUUGAAAAAUACUUUAUAUAGUUGUAUAUUACUACGAUUAAAGAAAUAUUUUGAGCGUACGUUAUAUGUUUUGUUAUACGAAGAUUUUACCGAAAAAAAUCCGAAAAAAUCCGAAUAACCCGAAAACCCGAGGAAACCCGAGAAAAACCGAUAUUGAAAAACCCGAAUUUAUUGGUUUGGUUUGGUCUUUAGAUUUACUAACCCGACAUAAUUGGUUUGGUUUGGUAAUUGUAAAAUUCGAACCAACUCGGUCUAUGUACACCACUACCUCAAUUCAAUGCCAUAUUAUGUUUAUUGUAUCCAGGAGCAGAUUCAGGGGGCGAAAGGGGGGUGCCUGAACCCACUUUAUUAAAAAAUUACAUUAUAUAUAUAGUACAAAAUUAAUUAUAUAUUUUAUUUUGAAUUUCCUUGACACAACCUAAAAAUAUAGCUCAGUGGUCAAGAAAAUUUAACUUUUUAUUUUUAAAGCUUCUUUAGCAGAAAUCCUGCCUCUGAUUGCAUCAACUUUUAUGUAAAUAGAAAAUGGCUUUGGUCUAUAACUAAGAAUUUUGAUCUCCAAUAGCUACUAAAAUAAGUUUAUUUACUGCAUCUAAUAAUUAGCAAGAAUGACAUGUGAUUGUCCCAUAAUGUAACAGAACAACAACAACAACAAAAUGUCCAAUAAUUUUUACAAGUGAAAUUUGGGGAGGGUAAGAUGUACGUAUCUUAUCUUUGACCUGAAAGGGCAGAAAUACUAUUUCCGAUAGACUCUUGACUAAAAAACGGAUGAAAAAGUAAUAGCAACAAAUAUAAAUAACAACAAGAUAAAAAUAAAGCCGAAGUCAAAAAAGCAUUACUCUAAAUAGUAAUAACAAUUUAUGACAAAAAGGAUAUAAUGUAACGGAAACAUUCAACUUUAAAUAAUCUAGAUUCAAAACACAUAGCAUGAUUUUUACUUCGAACCCCUACACAAUGAGUAAGAUUUCAGAAUUUUGUAAGGUCAAUAGCGCUACUUGGAGUGAUUUUUGAUGUAUUUCUAUUUUGUGAGUUUGUAUAAUACUUUGGUUUACCAUAUGAGAUCUUACUGUUACCUUGCUUUCAUUUUACUAUAUGUUAUUUGAUUUGGUUGAUGUACGAAAAGGAACAACAAUUUGUUGUUGCUGUUUUCUUGGUUGCACUUGCUGCUGCAUUUUCUAUGGAAAUUUCAAGUGAAUUUUCUAUGCAAAUUGAUAAAUCGAAAUCAUACUGAAUCAAAUAAGAAAUAUCGAAUCUUAUUGAACCACUUUAAAUAUAAUAUUUGAUAUUCGUAAUUGAUGAAAUUAAAUAUUGAAGUAUCGAACCAAAGUGCGGAACACCCUCGAAAUUAAUUCCGUCAUGUUAAAAAAUUCAAGCACUUCCAAAUUUGUGGUAUAUUGAAAGUCAACGUUGUCAUACUAUAGUAUUUUUAGUUGAUAAGGCUUGCUUCGAGAUGCAAAGCUAGCAGCCGCAGGUUCCUUAGAUGUACAUAUUCUAGACUAUCUAAUUGAAAAAAGACAAAGAAUGCAAAAAGUGAUUCAUUUACUUAUAGUUUUGUCAACAUCAAUUUGCGAAAAGCUCCUUUGAUUGGAAAAUAAAUUGUUUUAAAAUUAAUUAUCUCAAGUUUAUUAUCUUAUCUUUUUAUAAAGAUAAAAAUAAUAUUAUAAUUUCAAGAUAACUAAUAAUGUAAUUUUAUUUCAACUAAACGUGUGAUAAAUUCAUCUCAAAUUUACUAUCUGAAUUAAUUAUCUUUUUUCCUCGUACUAAAUGAGUAACAUUCAAUUUUGACAAUAUUUUUUUUAUUUCCUUUUCCUUUAACCCAAGCCUUUCCAUCCAAAAGAAAUAGAAAAAAGAAGAUAAAAGAGUAUAGAAAAACCGAAUCUUCAAAACUUCACAAAGCAGUUUUAUUACCAAUUUCAUGCAUAUUAUAUUAUUAGAUAAGAGUAGUCAUAAACCUACAGUUAAAAAUACAUUUAUGUAAGUAUUUUUCAAGUCCGUACAAUAACUUUUCUAAAAUCUGUGUGUACCUCUUGUCAAAUAUAAAAAAAUAUCUUUAAAUUUCUUAAAAAGAAAUGACAGGGUAAUUAAAACAAAAAAAUAGAAUCUCAAUAUUACAGAAAAUCAUAAAAAAGCUGACAAACUGGCUUUGAACCUUCUCUUUAACCCACUACCCUACUUCAUUAUUAUUUCUAUCCCUUUUUUCUUAACGUUCCUAUUUUUCAAAUACCGUUGGAGGCAACAUAUUUAAAUCCUCCAUUACCAAAGAAAGCCAUAUUCUCUCCUACCCACCACCCCCACUUCACUUACCCNNNNNNNNNNNNNNNNNNNNNNNNNNNNNNNNNNNNNNNNNNNNNNNNNNNNNNNNNNNNNNNNNNNNNNNNNNNNNNNNNNNNNNNNNNNNNNNNNNNNNNNNNNNNNNNCCCAAACCUACCAACAAACCUUCAUAUAAACACACUGCAAAUAUACAAGACAAAAUCUUCCUCCAUUUUCUCUGCAGGGGUUUUUGGGAAAAUCAAGAAAGCAGAGAUCUAAAAAAGAAAUGGGAUGUUUUCUUGGCUGUUUUGGUUUUACGACCAAGAAACAAAAGCGCAUAAAGACUUGUAACAAGUUCCAAGUAAGUCUUGUUAAAUUAAUUUUGUGUCAAUUUUAACUAUGUUUGUUUCAUUUGACACCUUUUUUUGAAUUUAAAUGGUUAUAGAUCUGACGAAUUAGUUAGAAAUGAAGGUUUAUACUAGUGUUGAUUCUAAUUCUAAGCAAAAUAAAGAUUUUUUUUAUAUAUAUGAGUUGGGUGAAGCCAAAUCCUAUCCUAAGAAGUGUUUCCCUUUAGUUAUUUGAAUUCCAAUAUGUUUGCUUUCUUUGAAUCUUGUUUAUAGGUGCAUCAAAAGUAUGUACAACUAGACUCUGAUAAGGCAAAUGCUGCAGAUUCUGAACCCAGGUCAGUCAGUAACUCAUAGAAUUUUUUUUUUUUUUGGGGUACAAUCUUUGAUAAUGGUAGUAUCCUGGUAAAGCGAUUACACUGAGUUUGUAUUGUUGUGCUGUCCACGUCAAUUUAUGCAUCUUGACUAUUGCACCAAAUAUUGGAUAAUUUUGUUCAUUAAGGCUUAGACAAAUGAGAUUUAGGGUGUGUUUUUGGUAUAACUGAAAAUGUUUUCCUGGAAAAAUCUUUUUCAAGAAAAUGUUUUUUUGGAAAACAAGUUAAUCUUAUUCAUUUUUCGGUAUUUGGUAAGCAAGUUAAGGAAAAUGACUUCUCAAGAGUAUUCAUCAAUAAUUUAGAUAUAAUAAACAUGAAACCAUAUAAUUUCAAACCAACAACUUUCGGGACCCACAACUUACAUAAACUUUUUAACCGUUAAACUUUCAAAACCGCAUAAUUUUAAACCAAACCAACAAAUUUCAUAAACUUUCGAACCGCUAAACUUUCAAAACCGCGAAAUUUCAAACCCGUAAACUUUAUAAUUUCUAAACCCGUUACCUUCUAGAUACAUAAACCUCCGAACUCAUAAUUUUGGAACUUGUAAAAUUUUGAGCCUUUAAACCGAUAAAUAGUAAAAUUAAAACUGAAAAUAUAUUUAAAAUUUUUUUUUGGGGGGGGGAGGGAGGGUAGGGUAGGGUAGGGGCGGGGGUUUGGGGAGGCAGUAAAACAAAAAAAAAAAAAUUUAAAUUACAAAAAAAAAAGUAUUUUUUUUAGCCCGCGGGGGAGGUCAAGUGGGGGUGGGUGGUGCAGAAAAAUGAAAAAGUAGAAAUUUAAAAUUGCAAAAAAAAAAAAAUUUAAGGUAAAAAAAGUUAUUUUUGGUUUGUCUCAUUUGGAAUUUGAACCUUGAUCUCUAAGGGGUAAUUUGGUAGGGUGCAUAAGAAUAAUGCUGAAUAGAUUGUAUUAUUAGUAAUGCUGGUAUUAUUGUUCGGUUUGAUAUUUAAAGCAUUGCAUAAUUUCUAAAAGAAUUGUUUGUUUACAAAAAUACUCUCAUAACCAGUUCAUUGUUUUAUCUUUUUAAAAGAAACAUAUAAGGAAUAAUGUUUUUUAUAGAAAGUAUUUAAAAAAACUAUUUGAUUUGUCUACCUAUAUUGUAGUACAGAACUAAAUAUUUAUUUAUAAAAAAAGAAAAUAUGCUAAGUUUUGCUUAUCUACUAGGGAUAUAAAUUUAUUUUCCACUUUGUUGGAUUAUUAGGCAUGCAAAGAAAUAUAAAUUUAAAAUGAAGAAAUUGGUGGAGUAUAGAAUAACUAGCAAGAACAAUUUCAGUAUCAAACUUUACAUCAAACUUGCAUUAAUAUUAUAACAUAUUUAAAUCAAAAAUUAAAUUUUGAAGAGCUAAUGCAUAUAUUAAACCCCAUUACAUUGCCAAUACCAUGAUUUCCUAUGCAUUAGUUAUGCAUAUACAACAACAAUAACAACAAACCUAGUUUGACCCCAUAAAUAGGGUCCAGGGAGGGUAGUAUAUACGCAGACCUUAUCCCUACCUCAUAUAGAUAGAGAGGUUGUUUCCGAUAGACCCUCGGCGCAAGAAACAAUAAAGACAAAACAACCAAGUAGCAACGAAUAAAUGCAACAAAUAUAAAAUAGUAACGGGCGUUAAUGCUAGAGCAUGUAAUAAUAAAGAAACAUAAGUAAGAAAUUACAAAUAUAGUCCUAGUACUAGUGUGGUCAGCCUAAGAGGAAGAACACACUACAAUCUAUCAACCUACAACCCUAAUCCUCGACCUCCACCCAUUCCUAUCGUGGGUCAUAUCAACCUACAACCCUAAUCCUCGACCUCCACCCAUUCCUAUCGUGGGUCAUAUCCUUGAUAAGUUGAAGCAUGACAUAUCCUGCCUAAUGACCUCCCCCAAAUACUUCUUAGGCCUACCCCUUUCCUUCCACAGACCGGAGCAUCUAUGUCUCUCCUCUUCACAUGCCUGAACCAUCUCAGUCUUGAUUCCCGCAACUUGUCCGCUCCACAGAUCCCCCUCCUACUUUGUCCCUAAUAACUUCAUUCCUAAUCCUGGUUUUCUUGGUAUGCCCGCACAUCCAUCUCAACAUCCUCAUUUCAGCUACUUUCAUUUUCUGGACAUGAGACUUCUUGUGAAAGGCCAUCAUUUAACUCCAUACAACAUAGUGGGUCUAACCACCACUCUAUAGAACUUGGCCUUAAGUCCAAGUGGCACAUUCUUAUCACACAAAACCCCGAAUAAUUAAUUCAUAAGUUCAAAAAGUGUAACAAACAAGGUAUUAUUAAUACACAAAGCUAAUGCAUGCAUUAUCUUAUGUAAUGCAUUGUACCAAAUGACCCCUAACAAUUUUCACUCAUUUUACCAACUUCUAGGCCACUUCCUAUUAGGUAGUUCGCGAAUUUUAUUUGUUUUUUUUAUCUUCCAUAAUUUUCACCGACUUUACUAAUACGAGUUUGGUAGUUUUUGAAUUUUAUUUUAUUUUUUUUGAUCUCCCAUAAUUUUCACCGGCUUCAUUGACUGCUGGCCCACUUUCAUGUUAGAUUGAAUUUUAUUUGGUUUUCAUGUAGGGAUAAGCCAAAAGAAUCAUCAAAACCUAAGGUAAAAAAGAAAGUGAGCUUCAAUUUGAAUGUUAAGGCGUAUGAGCGAAUCCAAGAUGAUGACAACACACCAUAUUUCUCAGAUGAAGAGGAGAAGACACUAUGUGAAUACAAUGAAAAAGAAACUGCAAAAUCAAAUAUGUCAAUACAUAUUUCUCAGAUGAAGAGGAGAAGACACAAUGUGAAUACAAUGAACAAGAAACUGCAAAAUCAAGUAUGUCUAUGUCUAUGUACCCUUCAAGUUAUCGAUACUAUAACUGCAACGAUGAGGAAGACGAGAUAACACUUGAGGAAAGUGACAUCGAUGAUCUUGAUGAAGAAGACUAUGGCGUUAGCGAUGAUGAUGAUGACAAUGAAGAUGGUGAUGACGAGACAGAAAACAAGUUUGAAAAUGAUAAAAGGCUGAACAAAGAUGAAACAAAUGAAGUAAGUCAAGAUCAGAGGAAUGUGUAUGGGAAUUCUGUGCUACUUCCAGUUGAAAAUCUCACUCAAUGGAAAGCAGUUAAAGCUAGGGGAGCACAGCAAGUGAAACAUCAGAAGGAAAACAUUAUAAAAUUUGAUGGAAAACAAGAGAUACCUUUGCUUAAAAAGCCAGUAAUCAGUUGUGCAGAGCUAAAUCCCAAAGAAAACUCUAAGCUUAAGACUCAGGGGCAUGAAAUUCCAGUUGAUACCAGUCUCUCAAACUGGCUUGUUUCAGCUGGAGCAGCAUCGGUAAAUCGCUCGGCUGUGUAUUAUAUUGAAGAUAGAGGUAAAGAUCAUCAAGUUGUGCUUGAUACAGUCAAUACUCUAUAAACAAAAAAGUGCAGAGAAUGGUCUAAAUACAUCUGGAUUGAUGUUUGUGUAAAGUAUUGUUUGUCUUUAUGUUUGGACACAGUACAUGAUUUGUGAGUGCAGUUGUGUUGUAUUCUUUUCUAGACAAAUUUGGGGUACAGAAAAUUCCAUUUGUGGAGACUUGUAUGUGGUUGAGAAGCAUAUGAAUGUUGUAAUACCUUACUUUUACAAAAAAAAAAAAAAGUAGUGGACAAGUGAAGAAAUAAUGUUGUACAAAACCAAUUCUUGUUAUGCAUCCAGCUAUAUGCUAGAACACCAUCAUCAGAUGUAAUCUUCAGUACUCAUUUACAUUAUAACUGAGCAAAAAGAAAACAAGAAAAACCGAACUUUCCGUAUGCUACAUACAACAGAGGAAGUCAUUCUCUCUAUCUGAUUGCGUACAAAAGAAAGGGUCGAUUCAUUUGGCGCGAGGUGCCAGAUAACUUGAACCAAAAUCAGAGACAGUUGACUCUCUUUAACAAACUGCUGUUAUUGAAGGCUAUAUAAGAUGUGAAUCAAGGAAAUUCAACACUUUGAUUCACCAUGUAUUAAGUCAAAAGGACAACUGGUUUGGUAGUGCAUUCACUGAGAACUACAUUAUUCUACAAAUGCAAGAAUCUGAUUCAUCGUCAUCUGAGUC